UACGUAGGCAGCAAGAGUUGGUCGGGAUUACUGGGCGUAAAGGGUGCGUAGGCGGUUUUGUAAGUUUGGGGUGAAAUCUCCCGGCUUAACUGGGAGGGUGCGCCGAAAACUGCAAGGCUAGAGUGCAGGAGAGGAGAGUGGAAUUCCUGGUGUAGCGGUGAAAUGCGUAGAUAACAGGAGGAACACCGGUGGUGUAGUCGGCUCUCUGGACUGUUACUGACGCUGAGGCACGAAAGCGUGGGGAGCAAACAGG
rnacentral:rRNA from 1 species